UACAGAGGUCCCAAGCGUUGUUCGGAUUCACUGGGCGUAAAGGGCGCGUAGGCGGUCGGGUAAGUCUGACGUGAAAUCUUCAAGCUCAACCUGGGGGCUGCGCUUGAUACUGGUGAGCUUGAAUGCGGGAGAGGAUAGUGGAAUUCCCAGUGUAGAGGUGAAAUUCGUAGAUAUUGGGAAGAACACCGGUGGCGAAGGCGGCUAUCUGGCCCGUAAUUGACGCUGAGGCGCGAAAGCGUGGGGAGCAAACAGG
rnacentral:rRNA from 1 species